GCAGUGCGUGGCCGAAUGGUUACGCUGUCCGCUUUGUAAGCGGAUGACUCUGGGUUCGAUUCCCAUCUGCUCCA
rnacentral:tRNA from 1 species